rnacentral:rRNA from 1 species
GACAGAGGGUGCAAACGUUGCUCGGAAUCACUGGGCGUAAAGGGCGUGUAGGCGGGAAGGAAAGUCGGGCGUGAAAUCCCUGGGCUCAACCCAGGAACUGCACUCGAAACUUCUUUUCUUGAGUGCCGGAGAGGAAAGCGGAAUUCCUGGUGUAGAGGUGAAAUUCGUAGAUAUCAGGAGGAACACCAGUGGCGAAGGCGGCUUUCUGGACGGGUAACUGACGCUGGAGAACGCGAAAGCGUGGGGAGCAAACAGG